UUGAAAAGAACUUUGAAGAGAGAGUUCAAGAGUACGUGAAACCGUUCAGGGGUAAACCUAAGAAACCCAAAAGAUCGAACGGGGAGAUUCAUCGUCAGCGACGCUGGCCUCACGUCGGUGGGCGAUGCGGCGCCGCGGSCCCUUCGCGGUUCGCGCGCGCCCGCACGCCGCCGCGCGUCGACGUCCGGCCGUCGUAGUCGUGCACUUCUCCCCUUAGUAGAACGUCGCGACCCGCUGGGUGUCGGUCUACGGCCCGGGUGCGGUGACUCAUGCGCCGCCGGUAAAACGGCGCGCGUGAAACCCCCGGUCGCCCGGCCGGCUGCCCGGCGGUACGCGCAUGGUAUCAGGCCGCAGCUCUCGCACGGCGCGCGGCGCGCCGCUCUCCCACGCUCUCUGUUCGCCGCUCGCUCUCUCACGGGGGCGGGCGCGCGGUGCAGGGGCGGGGGUAGGGUGCGCGUUCGCGUACGCCGUCGCUCGACCGAGCGUGCGUCGAGGCCGUCGCAAGCGCGCGCCACUUGCGCGCGCGCGGUGGUCAAACGCCGCGCGCGCGCGGAUCCGGCUAACGGACCUAGCGCCGUCACCGGUCCUGGCMCGCUGUUGGCUCAACAGACGGAUUUCCACCUUCGACAGGCCCGCAAACGCGUCCCUCGCGCCGCGCGGUCCUCUCACUCUCUCUSGCACCGCUCUCACGGGCGGGGCGGGGGGAGCGUUGGUCCGUUGCGCGCGCGCUGGGACCGCGAUACCGGUCGGCGACGCUACUGCUUUGGGUACUCUUAGGACCCGUCUUGAAACACGGACCAAGGAGUCUAACAUGUACGCGAGUCAUUGGGACUUGUUAAAAACUGGUUAAACCUAAAGGCGUAAUGAAAGUGAAGGUCGGCCCUGGUCGUCGACCGAGGGAGGAUGGGCCGCGUCGCCGCGCGCGGCUCCGCACUCCCGGGGCGUCUCGCUCUCAUCGCGAGGGGAGGCGCACCCAGAGCGUACACGUUGGGACCCGAAAGAUGGUGAACUAUGCCUGGUCAGGACGAAGUCAGGGGAAACCCUGAUGGAGGUCCGUAGCGAUUCUGACGUGCAAAUCGAUCGUCGGAACUGGGUAUAGGGGCGAAAGACUAAUCGAACCAUCUAGUAGCUGGUUCCCUCCGAAGUUUCCCUCAGGAUAGCUGGCACUCGGCCGUUCCCCGUUGCGGAACGAGCGCGAGUCUCAUCUGGUAAAGCGAAUGAUUAGAGGCCUUGGGGCCGAAACGACCUCAACCUAUUCUCAAACUUUAAAUGGGUGAGAUCUCUGGCUUUCUUGAACUGUGAAGCCACGAGCAUCUUGAAAUCGGAUCAGAGUGCCAAGUGGGCCAUUUUUGGUAAGCAGAACUGGCGCUGUGGGAUGAACCAAACGCAGAGUUAAGGCGCCCAACUCGACGCUCAUGGGACACCAUGAAAGGCGUUGGUUGCUUAAGACAGCAGGACGGUGGCCAUGGAAGUCGGAAUCCGCUAAGGAGUGUGUAACAACUCACCUGCCGAAGCAACUAGCCCUGAAAAUGGAUGGCGCUGAAGCGUCGAGCCUAUACUCUGCCGUCAGCGGCAAGUGGGGCGGGGCGUUCGUCGUCGUCGUCGUCGUCGCGCGCGGGCGGAAACGCUCGGGCGCGCGCGGCGCGGCGCGGCGCCGCGCCACGAGGCCCUGACGAGUAGGAGGGUCGCGGCGGUGUGCGCAGAAGGGUCU
rnacentral:rRNA from 1 species